GGAGAUACAAGAAACAAUCGUCCCCUUUCAUCCCAGAGCUUUCAUUGGGUCUUGGUAGUGAUUGAGCCAAGGAAAAUGAUAGUCCACUAUCUUGACCCUAUGCAUCACAAACCAUGUGAGGACUUAAAGGAUAUUGUAAACAUUUGGGUGAUAAAAAAACAUAUUCUCAAGUAGAAUUCGAUGAAAUUAGAGGAGAAUGAGCUACUUUUGUGCUACAACUAAUCAUUAAUCAUGUUGAUGCAUCAUGAUCACCAUGCAUGGUAUACAGUCUUGGGAGGAUGGAAUGGAGAAUAAAAA